rnacentral:tRNA from 1 species
GCCCGAGUGGCGGAAUUGGCAGACGCGACGGAUUCAAAAUCCGUUGGUGCUUACGCACCGUGAGGGUUCAAGUCCCUCCUCGGGCA